UACGAAGGGGGCGAGCGUUGUUCGGGUUUACUGGGCGUAAAGGGCGCGCAGGCGGCUUAUUUUGUCAGGCGUGAAAGCCCCGGGCUUAACCUGGGAACUGCGUUUGAUACGGAUGGGCUAGAGUUCGGGAGAGGAGCGUGGAAUUCCCAGUGUAGAGGUGAAAUUCGUAGAUAUUGGGAAGAACACCGGUGGCGAAGGCGGCGCUCUGGACCGAGACUGACGCUGAGGCGCGAAAGCGUGGGGAGCAAACAGG
rnacentral:rRNA from 1 species